rnacentral:rRNA from 1 species
CUCGUAGGCGGUUUGUCGCGUCGGGAGUGAAAACGCCGUGCUUAACACGGCGCUGCUUCCGAUACGGGCAGACUAGAGGUAUGCAGGGGAGAACGGAAUUCCUGGUGUAGCGGUGAAAUGCGCAGAUAUCAGGAGGAACACCGGUGGCGAAGGCGGUUCUCUGGGCAUUACCUGACGCUGAGGAGCGAAAGUGUGGGGAGCGAACA